CAGUAGCCGCGGUAAUACGUAGGGUGCGAGCGUUAAUCGGAAUUACUGGGCGUAAAGCGUGCGCAGGCGGUUAUAUAAGACAGAUGUGAAAUCCCCGGGCUCAACCUGGGACCUGCAUUUGUGACUGUAUAGCUAGAGUACGGUAGAGGGGGAUGGAAUUCCGCGUGUAGCAGUGAAAUGCGUAGAUAUGCGGAGGAUCACCGAUGGCGAAGGCAAUCCCCUGGACCUGUACUGACGCUCAUGCACGAAAGCGUGGGGAGCAAACAGGAUCAGAUACCCGAGUAGUCCCUGUCUCUUAUAC
rnacentral:rRNA from 1 species